rnacentral:rRNA from 1 species
AGUGAACGCUGGCGGUAGGCCUAACACAUGCAAGUCGAACGGCAGCACAGUAAGAGCUUGCUCUUACGGGUGGCGAGUGGCGGACGGGUGAGGAAUACAUCGGAAUCUACUUUUUCGUGGGGGAUAACGUAGGGAAACUUACGCUAAUACCGCAUACGACCUACGGGUGAAAGCAGGGGAUCUUCGGACCUUGCGCGAUUGAAUGAGCCGAUGUCGGGUUAGCUAGUUGGCGGGGUAAAGGCCCACCAAGGCGACGAUCCGGAGCUGGUCUGAGAGGAUGAUCGGCCACACUGGAACUGAGCCACGGUCCAUACUCCUACGGGAGGCAGCAGUCGGGAAUAUUGGACAAUGGGCGCAAGCCUGAUCCAGCCAUACCGCGUGGGUUAAGAAGGCCUUCGGGUUGUAAAGCCCUUUUGUUGGGAAAGAAAAGCAGCAGGUUGAUACCCCGCUGUUCUGACGGUACCCAAAGAAUAAGCACCGGCUAACUUCGUG